CCUACGGGAGGCAGCAGUGAGGAAUAUUGGUCAAUGGGCGCGAGUCUGAACCAGCCAAGCAGCGUGAAGGAUGACUGCCCUACGGGUUGUAAACUUCUUUUAUAAAGGAAUAAAGUGAGGCACGUGUGCCUUUUUGUAUGUACUUUAUGAAUAAGGAUCGGCUAACUCCGUGCCAGCAGCCGCGGUAAUACGGAGGAUCCGAGCGUUAUCCGGAUUUAUUGGGUUUAAAGGGAGCGUAGGUGGGUUGUUAAGUCAGUUGUGAAAGUUUGCGGCUCAACCGUAAAAUUGCAAUUGAUACUGGCAGUCUUGAGUGUAGUUGAGGUAGGCGGAAUUCAUGGUGUAGCGGUGAAAUGCUUAGAUAUCACGAAGAACACCGAUUGCGAAGGCAGCUUACUAAACUGCCACUGACAUUGAUGCUCGAAAGUGUGGGUAUCAAACAGGAUUAGAUACCCUAGUAGUC
rnacentral:rRNA from 1 species